AGCUCCAUAAAAAGCUCAAACCUGCCACUUCAGCAGGGGUUGCUCUGGGAUCAGACGGGGUGAGAAAGUUCUGUGGAGCUGUGAUUUAAAUGAGAAACACAGAUGUUCAUCCAGGAUUCCUGGCUCACAGCUCCUAAAACCCUCAUCGCUUCCUUAGUGAGCAGAACAGCAGGAGGGUCUUUCGCUAUAAGAUCUGGUGUCUUCCUUCUUGAGACAGCUGCGGAACUGUAAGGUCUAGGAACAUUAGAAAUCUUCCUGGAGAAAGAAAAUGAAGAGAUCUUAGUGUCUCACUGCACCUGACCUCUGUGGCGAGCUAGGAGUGUCUGAGCCCUCACCACGCCUUCCCCUGUGAGUACCGGACCCCUCUUCAGGAGUCAGGAAGCGGAUGCAGGGUGGUGCAGCCCCAGGACAUGGAGCCUGGGAACGCCAGGCCCACGGUCAGCCCUGCCAGGUGCCGUCGGACGCACCUCGAGGGUUUUCCACGCAUUGAAACAGGCAAGGUUAGCAUAGGGCAGGGUCCCCAGUGCUGGAACUGCCAGAGCCCAGGGAAACGAGGGUGGGGA
rnacentral:lncRNA from 1 species